CUAUCCCCCAUUCUCUCAAACCUGCCUUCUUUGGCUUCUCUCGUCUCUCUCAAAGGCUCUCAACCUCUGAAACCUUAAUGGCCGCUACCCCUUCUUCAACCUCAAAUUAGCGGAAUCCAUGGCUACUCUCGCCAUGGACGACCUCUAGCCACCAUCUGCUGUUCCCACACGCCUGCCUCUUGAAGAUUCAAGGCCAGUCCUCGAAAGGCUUCACCAGAACUGGGUUGAUUUGAGAUUCUUCUAGCCGUUUCGGGCUUUUCUCCAGCGUAUCUUCGCCUGCUAAGCUUGGAUUCGACCUUAUCAAUCCAGAUCCGCUCUCGUGACUUCCAAGCCUUUUUCGACCUUUAGGGUUCUUAGAGACCCUAGCCUAUUCGUGGUUCCUUUUUAUUUUAUUCUUUCAGAUAUGUGCUAGAUCUAUGCUUUUUGUGAUGCUUUAGAGCUUUUUCCCAAUUUUUCUUUUUCAAAAAUGUUCGAAUCUGAUUUAAGGUUUCAUGAAAAACUUUUCUUUAAAGGUUUUCUGAUUCUUUUUUCUCUCUUACGUAUGCUUAUGCUUGUUUGUUUAUUUCUUAAGUUUGUUCUCUCUGUUCUUUGUUCACUUUCCAGUCUAGGUUUGAUUCUCAUUCUUUGCUAUAUAUGUUCAAGCUUAUGCUUUAAUUUUGGUUCUGAGUUCUAUUGAAAAUCUUAAUUUUUGUAUUCUUGCUUGUGUAUGUCUACCUAUCUAUGUGGUUUCAAAUGGCUUCUCAUCUCUGAUUUUAGGAGAAUCCCUAAAUUGUAGGGGGUUUUCCUUCGAGUAAAGGGCAUUAAGGUUUCACUUUAAAACCCUACGUUUACAUGUUCACGACGAACCUGUAAUCAAAGUCGAAGUCCUACUUGUCUUUGGCUCUAAGAUUUCUCAUUGUAAGGCUCUUCUUUGUUUGUACUGUAUGCUUUAUAUAUAAACCUCCCUUUCAAAGAUUUAUUUUUGAAAUCCCUUUAAUCAGACUAGGUGAUUUGCCACUUAUUGAAUCUCUUUUACCUUACUGAUAUUUUCUUUAAAUAACUGAUCUUGUAUCCUCUGUGAUUUUGUACCAACGUCUGAAUUAUUUAUUUCCUUAAUUACUUUAGGCUUUGUGAUUCUGAAGAUCCUUUGACUGAUUUUCAAAAUUAUACUUUAUUUUUCACACUAUUGUACCCCCUUUCCUUAAAUACCAAUUCUAUAUAUGACCUUAUUUAUGCACUAUGUGGGUUCUUUACCUUAAUAAGCCUAAGUAAACUUAUUCUUUCUUCCUUAUUCUAGCAUGACUAGUCGUUUGAACUAGACCCCUUGAUCAAAGGAGUCUGGUUAUUCUUAAUUGACACUGGUUGAUUAAAGUUUCUAUAUUUGGGCACUAUUUGCCUGCCUCACUGAUUUUAAAAACCUAUAUAAAGGGGUUAGCCCUCCCCUUUUCUACAACCAGUAACAGACAGAAAAAACACAAGACAAUCAGUCGAGAACAACUUCUCUCUCUUUCUCACAAACACACAGACUAGUUUUGUGCACUACUUCUCUUUUCUUUCUCAAAUACUUUAAGCUUUCUCAAAACCUUCUAGUGUUCUGCUGAAAUCAUGAGUUUAUUUACUCUGUGCUGUGGCUGCAAGUGCUCUAUUUAUCUUUUUCUAUUACUUUGCAACUGGUAUGUCUAUUCUAUUUUGAAUACUACUCUCCUCCUAUGUGUUAUAUAUUUCAGUCAUGUUUGUACUUCCUGUCUACUGCUUUCUACAAUGCUAUCACUCUUAUCCUUAUGUGAAUCCCUUUAUCCCUUACCCCUUUAUGUGUGAGUUAUGGUUCAAGAAAUGACAACACUUUAAUAUUAUUGUCCAUGAUUCUUGACUGGAUUCUUUGAAUCCCAACUCAAUCAGUUUCGCAUUCCCUUCCCUUUUUAUGUGUGUUUGAGCCUUAGACUUAAGUAUGGCAGUGUCCUAAUCAUUGUCCAGACCCUGGUCUGACCUUCAAGGGUUUGCUUUUAGUGCGUUUAACCAAGCAGAUGGUCAGGGGUGUGCCAACCUAUUUUGUGGCUGGGUAUGACCACCACCUGUCAUGGAUCCCCAAUUUCCCUUUUGCACUUGUUCGUAGCUAUUAAGUUCUGUCCCUCUCUUGCAAGCUAUGCUUUGGGACCCUUGAGUUCCCUCUGAACUUGGAUGCUUCAGAGCUGGCUCUUCCAUACUGCACUGUUUCUAAUUCUAAUGGCAUCGUUGGUGUAAGCAAUGCCGGGAAUCUCUGAGAUUUCUUGGAACUUUGAAACACCUUGGAUAAAGAGAAGGCUUUGGAAAUUUGGACCCUGAAAAUGGUUCAAUCGCAUGUUAUUAGACAUUAAUGUUGAAUUAGACUUCUCGGAUCUAGCUGUUAGCUUUUUAUGUACGUUUCUAUAUUUUCUGAGUUGUAAUAACUUGUAUAAACUCGGGGAAUAUAGUGAAAAUGUGUGGGAGAGGCCUUUACUUUCCUGCAUUAAAAGGGUAGAAAUCAUGAUCUUAGGACUUUGUUGUUUAAUCACCUAGAAAUCCUGCCUAUAGGAACAUUUACUAUUAUUUAAUCACAUAGAAAUCAUGCCUAUAGGACUUAACGCUUAACUUUCUAGAUAUCAUGCCUAUAGGGAUCUGCGUUCUUUAUAACAUUAAGUUAAAUUUUAGGAUCUGUCCACAAGUUUAUCA
rnacentral:lncRNA from 1 species